UGUUUUUAAGUGGACUUGGAUUGACCAAUGAUUGAUCUUGCAACAAGUCAAGAUGUGUGAAGAUGCUAUUGAAAUUCGACCACAUGUGAAGAUUUUUCGACAUGUUAAGAUAGAUGUCAUUGAUGUUGUAAUGUAUAUCUGCUUGCCUCAUAUUUUUGUUAUUAUGGAGAACGAAAUGAAGUUAUGAAUGUAGCCAAACUUUGAAGUUGUAAAGUGUUUUUUUUUAGGUCAAGUGUAGAUGUAUUUUUUUCGGUGAAUGUAUCUGAACUUUGGAAGUUGUAAAGUACUUUACUUUCAUCGAAUGUACUCCCUCCGUCCCAAAUUGUAUGUCGCUUUAGGGAAAAAAAUUGUUCCAAAUUAUAUGUCGUUUUAAAAUACUAAUGCAACAUUAAUGUUAUUUUUCCUAUUAUAACCUUAAUUAUUUAUUACUCUCUCUUUUUUCAAUUUUUUCAUUUAUCUUUUCCAUAUUAUUUAUUAAGAACAAAUUUGUAAAACAACUCUUAAUAUCUCUUUUUCACGCAAAAUUAAUUAAAUUUCUUAAUAUGUGUGAAAUGCUCAAAACAUUAUACAAUUUAGGACGGAGUGAGUAUUAUAAAAGUUACAGUUGUAAGGUAUUGAUGGUAAAAGAGAUAAGGGAUAAUAAAUUCGCUAUUUUACUGGGGAAAUUGACAUAUUUUCCCAUCUUAGGUCAAUUUAAUGAGGAUCAUUGAUUUAAUAUUAGUAAAUGUCAAUGGAUAGGAAUUUUGAUGAGAUUUUAAUAUUAAAAAGUUGAUGGACCAUUUUUUUAUGGCUAAAAUAUGAUUUUAGUUCCUGCAAAUAUGUCUCGUUUUGGUUUUAGUCCCUAUAAAAAACAAUUUGUUUUUGGUCCCUGCAAAAUUUUUUGUUUUUGAAAAUAAUCCUUUUUUAAAACUGCCAAAUAAUCAAAACAUAUUGGGCUGUUUUGUAUUUAAAUUAGUUAGGGGUCCAUAACUGCAACUUUUGGAAAGAUAGGGGUCUAAAAGUGCAAUUAAGCCUUUUUUAAAUUGUAAAUCGCUUAAUGAGGACCAAAUUUUUAUUUUUAUUUUAUCAAAAUAAAUAUUUAAUUUUUUUAUUAUUUAGAAAUACUUGAUAAAAAAAUUAAGGUAAAAAAUCUUUUUAUGAACUAAGUGACUUUCAUGUAAAGGAAAUAAUCAAGUGAUAUUAUUUAUUUUCAAAAGAACAUGUUUUCAAUUAAGUUAGAAAAUAAAUCUCAAGAAGUUGAAAUCUGAGAGUGAAACAUGAAAAUGUUAGCUCAUGGUAUUUGGGUCUAUAUUUUUAUAUCAAACAAGUUAUUGAGGAUGAGGUUGGGAUUGCAGAUUUUCUCCUUUAGAAAAAAUAUUAUUUUUUUAAACGGAAUUGGAAAAAAAAAAUAGGGUUUAAAUGAUAUGAUUUUAAAAUGAGGGGUAUAUAUUAGAAUAUAAAUAAACAGGGUACAAGUGACAACAAAUAAAAUAAAAUUAAUCUAAUAUGGGAAUAUUUGUCAAUUUGCCCAUGCUAAAACUCGCCAUCUGUCAAUUAAUUAAUCUUUUUUUGAAAAUAAUUAUUUUCUUCUCCCUAUGGACUAUUCUAAAGAGAGAUUAAUCCAACGUUUCAAGUCCAUUCUCACAUCUCUAGGAAAACCACUGUCACAUUGGUUUCUACAAUAGGAAUAAUUGAGGGGAAUCUCCAUCCUUACAAGAAAGAUACUUCCUCCGUUUCAAAUUAUAUGUCAUUUUGGAAAAAAAAAUUGUCCUAAAUUGUAUGUCGCUUUACAAUACCAAUGAAUCAUUAAUGUUACUUUUCCUAUUAUUUCCUUCACUAUUUAUUACCUUCUCUACUCUCAAGUCAUUCAUUUAUCUUUCUCAUAUCAUUUAUUAAGGAUAAUUUUGUAAAACAACUCAUAAUAUCUCUUUCCCACACAAAAUUAAUUACAUUUCUUAAUACGUGUGAUAUACCCAAAACAUCAUACAAUUUGGGACGGAGGGAGUAUCAAGAAAGGUUAUUGUAGAAUUUAGUUUGAUAAUAGGUUAUUGUAGAAUUUAUAGAUUUGAUAAUAUUUGAUAGGGUUGAUAGUGUUUUUCACCCCUGUAAUAUAGGUCAUUUCCGGUUUUCGCCCCUAUAAAAUUUUCGGUAUGAUUUGCACCCUCGUAAAAAAUUUAUUUUCCGGAAAACACCCCUAAUAGGCCAUUUUCAUAAUUUUUUUUCAAGAAAUUUUGGUUUUUGAAUGGCCUAUUAAGUGUGUUUUCCGGAAAAUAAAAUUUUUACGAGGGUGCAAAUCAAACCGAAAAUUUUAUAGGGGCAAAAACCAAAAAUAACAUAUAUUACAAGGGUGAAAAACACUAUUAACCCUAUUUGAUAAUAAUUCAUAUGGUUUGUAAUAAGUAUUUUUAUUAUAUAAUGGGUCAUGCUACAAGUUUUAUAUAAAAAAAAGUUUCUUUUUAAGGUUUUAAUGUGAUGAAUAUAUAAUUUUCAAAGUUUUUUUUUGAGAGGAUAUAAUUUUCAAAGAUAAAACAUUAUAGUUUGGAUGCCUAACAAAUAACUUUGAACUUUGUUGAAUCUCUAUAAUGUGGACCAAAUAUGUAAUAGCAUGAAUGCAUGCUAGUCAUUGCUCUGAAUCAACAUAUUGCAUAGCACGAGUACAAAUUCAAAUGAGCACGGACCUAUGUAUUACCGUUUGGAUUAGGGAAAAAUAAACAAGAGUUUCGACAUCUUUGUGAAUGAGUGCGGGUAAAGAAGUUGGUUCGUGAGAGUAGGUUCAUUUUGAAACAUGGAAUAUAGAGAAAAAAGUUAUAUUGUUCAGGAUUUAAGUCUUGGUACAUUGAAAAAGUGAGAUCGAGAAAUGGAGUAGGCGCUAUCGUGGAUAAAGAGCGUAAGAAUGACAUCCUUAAUGUAAAGAAGAAAGAAGGUUGAAUCAUAUCCCAAAAAUUUAUAGUGGAACAAGACACAUUUAAUGUUAUUAGUGCUUAUGCACCUUAGAACACCUUAAAGUAAAUCUAUGAGAGGUUUUAGAAAGCUUAAUUCAUGAUAUAAAUGAGCAUGUAGAAAGUGCUUUGAGUGGUUUUGAGAGCUUUUAUAAGGGGGUAUGGCUUCUGGGACAUAAAUACAUAUGGAAAAUUCAAUGAAUUUUCCAUUAGCUUUUGAUUUUACUAUAAAUAUGUGUUUUAAAAAAAGUGAGAAACUUCUUAUCACAUAUAAGAUUGGCCUUACACGUUCUCAUAUAUAUUUCUUUAUUUUUAGGGAAAUGGAUUGAAAUAUUGAUUUGGACUAUAAAAUCAAACCGAAGAGAGCUUCAUUAGCCAACAUAAAGUUUUGAUUAUGGAUCCAAGCGUUUAGAGGGGGCGAAGAGAAGAAGUUGCAAUGUGGCUUAGAGGAUCAAGUGGUUUCAUUUAAAGAGGGAAACAAAGGUUUUCCAACACAUGAUUUUAGAGGGAGGUUUUGAGAAAUUUCAAGUAAGUGCAAAUGAUAUGUGAGAGAAGAAAAACACAUAAUACUAGACAAGCUAAGUACCAAAAGUGACGUUGAGAGAAUAGAGUGGUUUUAGACCUAAGGGUAAAUGAUCUUGGUGGUGGAACAAAAGUGUUCAAAGUGAAAUGAGAAUAAAAAAUAUAUAUUUCAAAGAUUGGUCAAAGUGUAAAAAUGCUUAAACUUAGAAGAAUUAUAAGAGAGUUGAGAAAGAUAAUAUGAAGGCGGUGAGCGAAGCAAGAACAAAAUAUUUUGACGGGUUAUACCAAUUCUUAGACAUCAAAGAAUGAGACAAAUCUAUAUAUAGGCUUGUUGGGGGAAUUGCAAGAGAUUUGAGUCAAAGUGAAGUGUAUUGAAGAUGCAAAAGGUAAACUUUUGGUUCUCGAUAGGGCUAUAAAAGAUAGAUGGGAGAAGAAUUUCCACAAGUUAUUUAAUGAAGGAUAAGAGAUCUCAUCGAACUCUAACAUGCUAAACCCGGGAGACGAGAAUGGAAACUAUAACUAUUAUCGUCGAAUUAAAAAAGUAAGAGGUAAAAAACUUUAAAAAUGAUGAGUAAUGACAAGAUAGUUGGACCAGAUAACAUACCUAUUGAAGGUUAGAAAAAUCUUGGAGAUAGAGGCAUUUGUAGGCUCACCAAACUUAUUAACGAUACUAUGAGGAUAAAGAAAAUGUCGAAUGAGUGGAGAAGAAACACUGUAGUUCUUAUCUAUAAGAACAAGGGCCAUAAUAUUCAAAAUUAAGGGGCAUAUUCAAAAUAUGAGUUUGACAUUCUUAACAAAAAAAUGUUUGAUUUUAAUGAAUGAAACUUUAGAAAAGAAACAAGUUGUGAGAAUGAGAAGGUGCAUAAUUAUCAACACUCUUUUUUUUAAGGAAUUAUACCAACACUCUUUAUGAGAUUAAAAUUUAAGUAAAAAGGUUUAAAAAAUAAAAAAUCAAAUAUAUUUGAUAUAAAUUUGAAUUUUUUCUUUCUUUCUUAUGUAUCAUUUUAAAAAAUAAAUUUAGCAAGCUUAAAAGUUGUUAUUUUUUACCUUGUCCAGCCCCGGUUGUAAGAUUAAAGGUAAUCUUUUCACAGUUGAAGGAUCAUUUUUGAGAACCACUUUCCUCACCUUUUAAUGUAGACUGUAUACUAUAGUUUGUUCUCUCCUCUUCCUCAUUUCAUAAUCUUUGUUGGUUACAUCAAAUAAUUUUAAAAAAAGAAGUGGAAUAAAUUCAUUCUUUAAAGAAAGUUAACAAUUUCAUUUCAUUUCAAGGAUCAAAGGUUAUAAUUAUUAAUUAAAGUUAAAAAGUUUUCACUCAUUGCUCAGGACAUAGACUCGUCCCUAUUUCAAGGAAAAUUGUAGAAUAUGUGUAUACGUUUUUCAAUACAAUAUAAAUAAAAUAAUAUAAUAUAGUUUUUAGACACAUGUGCACACGCGCGCGCGCACACACACACAAGUUAUUAUGGAAGAUAGAUGAGAGAAGAAUUUCCACAAGUUAUUUAAUGAAGGAUAUGAGAUCUCAUCGAACUCUAACAUGCUAAACACGAGAGACGAGGAUGGAAACUAUAACUAUUAUCGUCGAAUUAAAAAAGUAAGAGGUAAAAAACUUUAAAAAUGAUGAGUAAUGACAAGAUAGUUGGACCAUAUAACAUACUUAUUGAAGGUUAGAAAAAUCUUGGAGAUAGAGGCAUUUGUAUUCUCACCAAACUUAUUAACGAUACUAUGAGGAUAAAGAAAAUGUCGAAUGAGUGGAGAAGAAACACUUUAGUUCUUAUCUAUAAGAACAAGGGCCAUAAUAUUUAAAAUUAAGGGGCAUAUUCAAAAUUGUGCAAAUUUUAGAGGAAUUCAACUUAUGAGUCAUCCCAUGAAGUUAUGGAAAUGGUGAUUAAAUGAAGACUAAGAAAAGAGACGAUUUUAUUUAUAACCAACUUGGAUUUAUGACUGAAAGGUCGAUUAUGAAAAUGACAUACUUAGACAUAUGUUGGAGAAAUAUACUUUUGGUUAUAGAGAAAUACCAACAAACUAGGUCGCCUCGUAAACACUUAUUAUGGAAGGAUGCGUCCAAAUGGAUGAAUCAUGGAUUCAAGAAUUAGUUGGCUAUCUAACAAAUUCCUGCAGGACAACCGAUUUUAAGUUAAAACAAAAGCGCAAAAUUAUGUGAUGGUGGAUGAAAACUUGUACAGAGGGAUGAGGUUCUCCUUAAGUGCAUAAAGAUGAUGAAGGAUUUAAUAUCUUGAAUGAGGUACAUUAAGGUUUACCAAUUUUCAUUGGGGAGAAAAAGAUACUUAAUGACAAACUUGACAAGUGUAUCAAAGUAAUCAUAUAUUAAGUUAUCGUCUUCAUAAAGGUUGUUGUUUCUACUUAGCAAUUUACUAGACUUAUGAAUAAAAACUAUAAUUUGAGGGAAGUUUGUAAGAUUAUUUACUUGACUUAUUAUCCCUUUUGACUAAGAGAUUUAACGCCAAUUAGGAUUUUUAGAAUCUCUUUAUCAAUGCAUAUUUUUAAGUAAGUUACUUCAUAAGGUUUAUAUUUCUGACAGUUAACGACAAAAGGAUUACGUUCGUAUCAUGUAUUAGGCCAUCCUGAUGUCAUAUUGCUCAGCAACGACUAGUCAGGGCUUAUACCUGCAUGAGUUUUUUCGGAGAUAAGAUGUUGUAUUGGUUUGCAACAGUUAGUCGAGACCUAGAGUCUCACAUAUGUCUUAGAAGUUCAAGCUAAUCAUACAUGAGAAAUUUCCAAUCUCUUGGUGAAUAACUCAAGCAAAUUAUAUAACUAUUCAAUUUAAGUAUAUGAUGUGAAUCACAAGAAUUAUAAUCUUGGAUCAAUUCAAGUUUUGAGAAAUCAUUACAAGUCAACACAUUUAAAAUGGGAUUAAUAGGUCUUUACUGAAGAGUCAAUAAUUAGUUAUUUUAGUAUAAUAUUUGAAUUCGUUUUAUUUAGAUUUAAGUUUAUUUUAUUUUAAUAUUAUUUCUUUUUAGAGUUAUUUUACUUCAAUUUCAUAUUAUUAUAUUUCAGGAACGAAUAUUUGAUAGAUUGAGUCUUGGAGCAAAAGAAAGAGGAUUAGGAGCUGAUUCGGGUGAAAAAUACGAAGACUGAAGACAAAAAUAUAUCCUCACCAAGUCAGAAGCUUGGCACGGCCGUGCCACCUCCCAGGGCCUCUUUUGCUGCUUUUGCUUCAUGAUCUAGCUGCCUGUUUUGAUCGAAAAGCUCGUGGUUUCUUGUGGAACAUUCUAUUGAAUAGUUGUUUAGGUUUUAAGUCGACAAUAAGACUAUAAAUAGAGUAGUUAACUAUCAUUAACAUUCAUAUUUUGUUCUUGGAAAUAAUAAGUGACAAUUGUUUAUUUGAAUAAAAGUUCAACCUUUAUUUCUUCUUCUUCUUCUUCUUCUUCUUCUUCUUAGACUCUUCUUGUCUUGGGAUUGUUGGAUAAGUCUAAUGACAUAAUCAUAGUCAAACCAAGUUUUAACCCUAAUCUUAUGUAACCCUAAGCUCAAGGAUUGCAAAUGCAGCGAAAUAGUCUUUGCAAUCCUUGAGACAUAUGAUGUUUUAAACUUUAUAGCUUCUUCUAGUAAUCAAAUCAGUGAAAUAGGUUUGAUUGCUAUAAGAACACUCUCAUUAGGACUGAAAGAAAAUAUGAGAGGCUAAAGAGAAACCGGUCUUUAGAAGUUAGGUCUAACAUAAAGUUUUAGGUAUAAGGUUUUGGUUUGUGAAGGGUUCGUCAUUAUGAUGAACCAAUAAUCUCAAGGCUUUUAUUUUUAUUUAUUUUCUUUUAAUUAAAAAUCCAAACUUUAAUCUCAAACUCUCAUCUAAUCAUUGUUGAAAGUUAAUUGAAUUCAUAACUCCCCGUCGGAACGAUACUCUAAUUUUACUACUUCGGUAGAACCGUGCACUUGCGGUUUUAUCCCAUCAUUUACCCCCUAUAAUAUAGGUCAUUUCUGGUUUUCCUCCUGUAAAAUUUUUAUUUUGAUUCACCCCCUAUAAAAUAUUUUUGUUUUGAUUUACCCCCCCUAAUAGGCCAAACAAAAACCUUUUUUUUUUUCAAGAAAUUUUCGUUUUUGUUUGGCCUAUUAUGGGGGUAAAUCAAAACUAAAAUAUUUUACAGGGGGUGAAUCAAAAUAAAAAUUUUAUAGGAAAAAAAUUGAAAAUGACCUAUAUUACAGGGGUAACGACCUAUUAACCCUUUAAAAUGAGACAUGCAUACAACAAAUUAUGCUCCCUUUUUUAUUUAUUGGAUGAAAUUAAUAUAAAUUUACACUUUUAAAAUGAGAGUUACAUAAAGUGGUAGAAUGCAAAUGUAAUUCAUUCAAUAAAAAUAUAAAUUUUAAAAUGAAUGUUAAAAAAAGCGUGUCGUUGAGAUUUCUCUUUCAAUAAAUAUAUCCAAAGACAUAUGUUAGCAUAAUUUUUCUUGUAGAAGCUAAAUAACUAAAUUAAUAUUCUUAGAUUAACACAAAAAGAAUGAAAUCUAAAACAUAAAAAAAAAAAAAAAACAAAAUUAACUCAAAUCAAAUCAGCUAUCUUAUGCAAGAGAAAGAAUAAUAUUAUAAAUUGUUAUGUCGACUAUGUUAUUAAGCUUUUACUGCAGAAUUGGAUACUUUAAGAAAACAAACUACUAAAAACUCAAUAGACUAAUAGGGUUGUGUGUGUGCGCGCGCGCGGGUGGGUGGGGGGAUAGGGGGGAUUUGGUUGAGGACACAUGCUUGUUUCACAAAGAAAGAAGUAAUCUUUAAAAGGGUGUUUCCAAGACUGAUUGUGAUAAAAUAUAUAACGCAUGUUGCCAAUGAUAAACAAUCAAAGUAAAGUGAUAAUAAUGGUAAAAUCAAAACAACAAGCAUUGCCAACCCACCAAGUCCACACCACGUUACUUUCAUCAUAACACAUCCCACCGACUACUUUUUUUACUUUAUUUUGUUUUCUUGAGUUUAACUCAGUGAAUCCUUAGAAGGUUGUUUCUGAGACAGAUUGUGAUAAAAUAUCUAACGCAUGCUCCCAACGAUAAACAAUAAAAGUAAAGAGAUAAUUAUGGUAAAACCAAAACAACUAGCAUUGCCAACCCACCAGGUCUACACCACGUUACUUUGAUCAUAACACAUCCCACUAACUACUAUUUUUUACUUAAUAUGUUUUAUAGUGUUUAAUUCAAGGUUAUACAGGGUUAAACUGUCACUUUUGUUUUUCUAUUUUUGUUUUGUUUUUGAAUUUGAUACAAUCUCUUGAUUUUUAAAAUUAAAGUAAGUGUUUCAUAUCACUGAAUUUUUAGGCUAUUUUGUUCUUAGGUCAUGCUGAAUAAAAAAAAAAGAAUCAUUGAUUAAUAGUAUAAUAAUGCAAAUAUUUUGAAAAAAUGAAUUUUAUUUAGUACUAGUAUUACAUUUUUACAUCAAUCUAAAAGUAAUGAUAUGAGUCAUGAUAUUUCUCCCCUUAUAAAUUCAGAGUUAAAAAUAGGAUUGAAAGAGAUAUUGUGUAUUGAAAUAAUAAAUUUUUAUGUUUUAAGAUCAUAAAUAGAUAAUUUCUUUUUUUUUCGUUUCUUAACUUGUGUCUUCAAAGCUGAAAUUAACAUUUUUAUAACAUUUUUGAUAAAAUAAUGCGUAAGAAUAACAUACUAUACAUUUAUUGAUAAAUUAUAUACACACACUACCAUUCAACUUUACACAAUGUCCUUGAAAUACAAGAAUUGAAACUUUGUAUUUGAAUUGAUAUGUUGGUGUUGACUUAAAAUUUUUUAGUAUGUUCGUUUUAAUAUUUUAGAUAUGCUUUUCUUUGGUGUUAGUUUGGUGAGUUAGUUUGAUCUCUAAAAAAAAAAAUAUAAUUAUUGUUUAAGAAGGUGAACAAAUUUAUGAUUUAAUUCAAAAUAUAAUAUAAAAAUAUUAAUAAUAAAGAAUAUUAUUAAUAUUUAUUUAAUUAAGCCGGUUUUAUAGGAUUAAAGAUGUUUUGUAUUGCUCGUGCUCUAACUUUUUUAACUAAAUAGAGUAUAGAAAAGUUACUAAAGAGAUUUGAAAAAAGGUAAUGAUAUUUGUAGAAUCAUUUUCUGAUAACUUUUGAGAUUAUUUUUUUACUAGUAUAAAACAAUAGAGAGAAAAUGAAGAGAGAGUAAGACAAUCCCCAACAGCGAAGUUUUAACGAUUUAAGACCCAAUAUCAAAUAAACUUUUUGGAUGUCUCAUAAGAUUCAUACUUUCACUUAAACAUCUCAUUAUUAAGUGAAUUCCAAGAUUAAAUUAAUCAUUUCACAAUGUUUGUUUGACAUAAUUUGUUUAUUGGUAGGACCCAUUUAAAACUUUUGUUAGAGGUGCUGCAUUGGAAUGAUUGAAUGCUUAUUAAAUACUCUUAUUAAAAAAUUAUAAAUGACUUGUAUGCACGUGUGACCUGGUUAAAUACUCAGAAUUGAAAGUCUCCAUCGUGAAUAUGUUUUAAGAAACAGUAUGAACAUAAGUGAGAAAAUUGUUAAAAAUUAUCACAAGUAUAAAUAUUUUUUUUUUUAAAAUGAUUUUUUUUGUCAUUUAAAUGAAUACAUCCACCGAUCACUAUUAUAUGAAAAAUCAAUAUUUUGAAUCCAUUUAUAAAAUGAUGUAUGUAGUACUCCCUCCGUUUGUAUAUCUAAGCUCUCUUUGUUUUUUUUCAUUUUUUUUCUUCACAUUUCUUAAGAAAAGUUGUAAGUGUAUUAAUGUGUUUGUUUUGUGUGUUAAUAUUACCAAAUUGGCAUUUGUUUGUAUAUACUCCCUCCGUCCCUAAUUAUAAGACCCUUUUGAGAAUUUUUUUUGUCCCUUUUUAUAAGACCCAUUUGUUAUUUCCAACUACAUUAAUUAUUUCUUUACAUACAUGCACCUAUUUAUUAUACAUCUUUUUCUUCAAUCAACAAUAAAUAACAUGUUGAAAAUAUAAACUAACCUUCUUUCUUAAAGGAUAAAAUUGUAAAAACAAUAGUGAUUACAAACAACUUUAAUACAAAUAUCCACUAUUUUAAUUCCCGGGAUUUUGGCAAAAGGGUCUUAUAUAUAGUGACGGAGGGAGUAUGUAUUAAAUUUGACUUUUCAUAUUUCAAGACAAGUUAGUAGUAUUAAUUAGGGGUAUGUUUAGGAAAAAAUAAUAAAUGGAUCUAGUAAUUUGAAAAUAGGUUUACAUUUAGGGACAAAAAUAAAGUCAAAUGGGUGCUUAGAUAUAGGAACGAAGGGAAUAUAUGAUAUACCACAUACAUUAUUAAUUGAAGACAAAUGCUAACUUGUGCCCUUAAUGACACAUGUUAAGGAACUCAUUAUAGAAAUAUAGGUAUCAAAAUUCGUGCAGUCAACUUCUUAAAAGUUAAAAUAUUAUGUUUUUCAAUGCAAAGUUACUCGUUUUGAGUUUCUUGACCAUCCUCAAUGGUUAUGUUUUCACCAUUUAAGAACCGGUACCUUUUUUUUUAAAGGAAUUUAAGAACCGGUACCUAAUAGAUACACCAUUGGGUAAAAUAUUUUUCGAGGUCUCUUAUCCAAAGUCUCAUUUAAGAGAAUUUUUUUAUGCCAUAUAAAGAAACAAAAAAUUAAAAAAUACACUCGUUGAAAAAAAAAAUUCCAAAAUUACCAUACUUUUUUAGAGUUGACCACAAUGUCACAAGUUGGACUUGCGACCUACCUAUGUCACAAUUCCAACUUGGGACAUACCCCCUAUGUCACAAGACCUAAUUGCGACCUACCCUUUCUCAAAAUUUGCAAUUUUUUUGUCCUUAUUGUAUGUCACAAGUGGGACUUGUGACAUAUUUAUUUUUUUCGUUUUUUUCUAUUAAUUUAAUAGAAUUACUUUCUAAAAAUUUUUAAAAAAUUGAAAUAAAUAUUUAUUAUUGAAGAUGACACAUUUAAUGGUACAACACAUUUAAACGAAGAAUAAAUAUUUAAUAUUUAAUAAAAUACAAACCAAAUGCAAAAAAAGAAUGCAUAGAUUGCUACUGAUGUUCAGUAUUAAUGCAACUUUUUCUAAUAAAAUACAAACCAAAUGCAAUAAAAAAAUAUGCAUAGAAUACAAAUGUUCAGUAUUAAUUCAAUUUUUAAAAAGUAAUUCUAUUAAAUUAAUAGGAAAAAAACGAAAAAAUAAAUAAAUAAAUAUGUGACAAGUCCCACUUGUGACAUACAAUAAGGACAAAAAAUGCAAAUUUUAAGAAAGGGUAAGUCGCAAUUGGGUCUUGUGACAUAGGGGGUCACAAGUUAGAAUUGUGACAUAGGUAGGUCACAAGUCCAACUUGUGACAUAGUGGUCAACUCUAAAAAAGUAAGGUAGUUUUGGUAUUUUUUUUUUUCAACUAGGGUAUUUUUUGAUUUUUUGUUUCAUUAUAAGGCAUAAAAAAAAUAUUCCCAUUUAAGACCCUAUUCUUAAGUGGAUCUCACACCACUUUUUAAUAAAAUAAUCAUUGUUGAGUUGUUUUAGUUGCUUUCCUUAAAAUGUAAAUGAUAAAGAGUUAUUGAUGAGACACAUUUAGACUUUUUCUUAGAGGAUCUCUAUUGGAGUUGUUGAUUACCUAUUAAAUAGUAUUAUUAAAAAAUUAUUAAAAAGUGAUGUGUCCAUAUAGAACCCGUUUAAGGUCUCAAGAUUGAGUGUCUCCAUUGUAGAUGUUCUAUGUAUCAUUAGAGCACAUGUUAACAUAACCUUUAAUUGAAUGAAGGUUAAAUGUUAAUUUUUGUUGGGUCUUGUCAACGAGUGCCCUAGGAUACUCUUUAAGCAUACCAAGACAAACAAUUAUUCUUCAAAAAAGUCAAACAUUUAAAUACUUGCUACUUAUAGUCCUUAAAGAGUGCCCCAGGAGCACUAGUUAAAAUUUUUGCUUAAUUACAAUUUUGGUCCUUGCAUUUUGACCAACUCACGAAAUUGGUCCUAAACUAUAAGUUUUUUGCAGCUUUAGUCCAUUCUCCCUAUUUCCAACUACAGAAACGCACAGAAAUGACAGUUUUAGUCCAAUCACUUAUGCUCAAUCAUGAAAUAAACAAUGAAUAAAUCAUGUGGGUACAAGGAAUCUACUUUGUUCAGCACAUAGACCAAGAAAAACUCUAAUUUCUAAGACAUGUUUCAGGUAUGUAACAUGUCUCGAAAAUUAGGUUAAUGUAUUGAAUAAAGUAGAUUUUUUGUACCCACAUGUUUUAUUCUUUGUUUAUUUCAUGGUUGAGGAUAGGUGGUUGGACUAAAUCUGUCAUUUCUGUGCGUUUCUGGAGUUGGAAAUAGGGAGAUAAGACUAAAACUACAAAAAUACAAAUAGUUUAAGGACGAUUUUGUUCGAUUUAAAAAAGAUAUGACAAUUUUUGUGAGUUGGUCAAAAUAGUAGGAUCAAAAGUGUAAUUAAGCCUAAAAUUUUCCAUUUUUGUUUAUACUGAUGCCAGUUUUUUUAUCUUUUCCCAAGAAAAAAUGGUAAAAUAAAUUAAUGAAACGACUAAAGUGAUUGCGUUUCAGUCCAAGUUCCCUUUAUUUAAGAGAACGAGAUUGCUUGUAAGAGAUAGGGUUCUCAUUUCAGUAUUGAGUUAGUUUAACUUCUGGUCUUUCCUUUUUCUUUUUUCCUUUUUAUCUAUUUGGAGAAGGUACUACCUUAUAGAUACCUUCUAGAUCUCAAUGUCCGUAUAUAUUUAUAUACACAGUUCUCUUCCAUCGUCAUCAAAAUCUUGUCAUGGAUCUGAUCUGAAACUUGAGAUCUAGUCUCUAGAUUUUUUUGCAGCUAAUUAUUUUCUUUUUCCUAUUUUUGUUAACGACUCAUAAGCUUCUAAGUUCCUCAUAUGGAACUUUUUUGUACUAGAUUCAAUUGUUUACAUCUACUUCAUAUAUAAUUUUAUUUUACUUUGAAAAUUAAUUGAAUUUUUUUUCUAUGAAGGUGAACCUUUGAUGCUAGGGUUUUAAGGGGUGGAGCUCCUUUUAGUCCAAAUAUGGAUGUUGCUAUGUUGAUAGAGCUGCUUAGCUAUGGAUCCCUCAAUUCUACCCAUCUUGUUCUUUGUGGUAGUUUUGUGGCUUCCAUAUCUAGGGAGCCUUAUCACCUUUAGUUUAAUCUUUCUUUGGAUUGAAGGGAGCUCUACAUCUUGCUCUCUUUACUUUAAUUUUACAUUUAUUAAUAUUUCAAGCCCUAGUUAUUUAUCUCAUCUUAAUUCUAUUGAUUUAUUCAAUUUGUUCAAAAUUUAGGGCUUAAAUUCUUUAAAGUGUUAUCUUUAGUUUAAUCUACCCUAGAUCUGUGAAAUCUUUGAAGUUGAGGUGAUAUUUUAAUUUUAUUAUUUACUUUUUUAUUUUAGUUUAAGUAGAUUUGUGAAAUAUUUCUCUUUUUUGGUUUAUUAAUUUACUUUAUCCAGAUCUAGUUUUUCAAAUAACUGUUCAACCCUAGAUCUGUGAAAUCUUUGAUGGUUUGAGUUUUUCAUUAUCAUCUUUUGUUGAAAUAUAUUUAUUAUUAUUAUUCUUGGUGACCAAAAAUUGUUACAAUAAUAUUUUACUAAUAUUUGUUCCACGUUCAGAUGGAUCUGUACUUGGAACUCUUAACAAUUUGUUGACUUUUCGGUUUUUUUUUAGCUUGCAGUCCUUCUAGUUGAUCGAACUCUUCUCAACAUAGAACAGAUCUUGCCUGAAAAAGAUGUGUUUUUAAGUGUACUUGGAUUGACCAAUGACUGAUCUUGCAACAAGUGAAGAUACAAUUGAAAUUCAACCACUUGUGGUGUCUGGUAUGGCUAAUGCCAGAUAAGAUUCUUUGACAUGUAAAGAUAGAUGUCAUAUUGUUGUCAAAAAUCAAAAUAGAUUGAUGAUGUUGUAAUGUAUCUGCUUACCUCAUGUUUUUUUUUGUUUAUUGAGAACGAUGUGUAGUUAUGUUUGUAGACAAACUUGGAAGUUGCAAAGUAAUUUUUUUGGUCAUCAAUGCAUCUGAACUUUGGAAGUUUGCAAAGUACUUACUUUUAUUGAAUGUGUGAUUAAAGUUGUAGU
rnacentral:lncRNA from 1 species